CACGUAGGCACCAAGCGUUGUCCGGAUUUAUUGGGCGUAAAGAGCUCGUAGGUGGUUCAGUAAGUCAGGUGUGAAAUCUUUGGGCUUAACCCAAAGCGUGCACUUGAUACUGCUGUGACUUGAGUUCGGUAGGGGAGUGGGGAAUUCCUAGUGUAGCGGUGAAAUGCGCAGAUAUUAGGAGGAACACCGGUGGCGAAGGCGCCACUCUGGGCCGAAACUGACGCUGAGGAGCGAAAGCGUGGGUAGCAAACAGG
rnacentral:rRNA from 1 species